rnacentral:rRNA from 1 species
CCUACUGCUAUCGGGAUGAGAUUAAAACAUGCUAGUUGUGCACUCCCUAGCCACGUUGGGAGCGCAGCGAACGGCUCCGUGACACGUAGUUAAUCUGCCCUUAGGACGGGGAUAACCCCGGGAAACUGGGGCUAAUACCCGAUAGGCGGAAAAGCCUGGAAUGGUCUUCCACCUAAAGGACUUCAGGAACAUGCUCCUGGGGUUGCCUAAGGAUGAGACUGCGGCCGAUCAGGUUGUUGGUGGGGUAACGGCCUACCAAGCCUAUAACCGGUACGGGCCCUGAGAGGGGGAGCCCGGAGAUGGGAACUGAGACAAGGUCCCAGACCCUACGGGGUGCAGCAGUUGCGAAACCUCUACAAUGCACGAAAGUGUGAUAGGGUUAUCCCGAGUGCCGUCCGAUGAGGAUGGCUUUUCCCCGGUGUAAGGAGCCGGGGGAAUAAAGGGGGGGCAAGACUGGUGUCAGCCGCCGCGGUAAUACCAGCCCCCUGAGUGGUAGGGACGAUUAUUUGGCCUAAAGCGUCCGUAGCCGGCUUAGCAAGUCUUUCGUUAAAUCCGGCGACUUAAUCGUCGGGAUGCGAGGGAUACUACUAGGCUAGAGGACGGGAGAGGUCGACGGUAUUCCGAGGGGAGGGGUAAAAUCCAAUAAUCCUCGGAGGACCACCAGUGGCGAAGGCGGUCGACUAGAACGUGCCUGACGGUGAGGGACGAAAGCUGGGGGAGCGAACCGGAUUAGACACCCGGGUAGUCCCAGCUGUAAACGAUGCGGGCUAGGUGUUGGGGUAGCCACGAGCUAUUCCAGUGCCGCAGAGAAGUUGUUAAGCCCGCCGCCUGGGAAGUACGGUCGCAAGACUGAAACUUAA